UUCAAGGAUCACUGGUUAAAUGCCUAUUCUGCACCAAGCAAGACCCCACAGGCAUGGUCACCUGGAGAACUUUUGAUCUUCUUUAAUCUUAGAAGCAACCCGGUGAGUUAUUCAAAGCUCCGACAGAGAAGAUAGAGGUGUUCAGCAUGAGACCUCGAAACCCAGUCCCCGAACCUAAGCCUGAUCUAGUCUGCAGAGCACAGUGGUCAAGUCAGGGAUGAACGUAUGAUCUGAGCCAGUCAAGUCAGAGCCUUGGCCUACGGAUAUUGCCCUGUGGACACCGCCCCUCGGGCUGAAGCCCAGCCACGCGGAGCAAAAACAAGGGAAACACGCCAGGUGCAGUCUGUCUCGCUGGUGCCGGCCUCACUGUUCAGAGCCCGAGGCCCUUGAUUCCUUGAGCUUUCAGUACCUUUUCCCACGAGUGAGCAAAUAAAAGUUGAUAUGGCUUCA